CCCGGGCUCGGACGUUGGGGACGCAGGCCUCCUGCUGGUGAAGGCGGCGCCCGAGGGUGCCCUGUGCCCACCCUCCUACGCGCGCUCUUGGCCUCCUUGCGGCGCUAGCCACCCAGCCCGAGCCUCCUGGCGCCGCCUAGUCCACGCGGAAGUCCCCGAGUGACCUGGGGGAGGCCCUCCCUCCCCACGCACGCAGAUUCACGAGCCCGUGCGGAGCACGAGUGACGCGUGCUCGCCGGCCCGGCACCGGCGUCCCCUCCACCCUCCCGCUUCCUGUCCCCUCGCAGCCCAGCUCCUGGCCUCGCAGCCACGUCCCCUCCUGAGCCCAGGCUGCGGUGAAACCUGUUGCUGUGGCUCACGUUUCUAUCCCCUCCCGCCGCCGCUGAAAUGGCUCAGCGAGGCGUGCCUGUGGGAAGCCAGGGUUAUCGGCGGACACAACAUCUUUGUUUGUAUGUGGUGCUGAGGAUCGAACCCAGGCCGCACGCAUGCCAGGCGAGCGUGCUACUGCUUGAGCCACAUCCCCAGUGGAAAAACCUUGUGAAGAUGUCAUGAGAAAUGGCGCUCUAUGUUUACUGAGAUGCCUUCUGCUGAAGGAGACGGCUUUUGGUUCUUCACCACUACCCCUUCACCACUAACACUAUCCCUUCACCACUAACACUUGCUGUUGUGGCCGCUGGACGGCUCCCUGUCAAGCUCCCAUCCCUCCUCCACUGCUCAUGCACAAAGACCAUCUUUUAAACACCUCUCCAGCAGCUGCCCCCUGCCGGAGGUCCACCUGAGCUUCUCACCCUGGCCCUCCAGGCCCUUCAGGACUUCUCAGUGGAGACACGCUUUGCAGGACACUGCCAACAGGACAAAGCCUCUUGGGAGUCUGUGCCUCCAGGCAGCAUGAGAGGCUAAGCCCCCCUGACCACCAGGAGCCAGCAGUGCCCUGCAAUCAGAUGCCAGGGGCACCUCUGCAGAGGUGGGAAGCCCAUUGCCCCACCAGCCUGCCCAAUCUGGCCACCGCCUGCCUUGGCCCUCAGGACCUACGCACUGCCAGUUUCUCUGCUUUGGUGCGAUUAAUCCCCACAUCUGCCCAUGCAGCUUUUUCUCCCAUUCAGAGAGGCCUUCCCUAGACACCCCACCUAAAACAGCUGCAUAUGCAUGCGCGUGCGCGUGCUCACGCGCGCGCGCGCACACACACACACACAGCAUCUCUAUGCACAAUUACAUUUGCACAAUCUCCCCAUUGCUUCCUUACCUCCUCUCUGCUCUAGAAUGUAAGUUCCAUGAGAACGAUGUUUUAUUUUCUGCCGUAUCCUCACUGUCUACAGAUACAUCUUUAUAAAUAUUUGUUGACUGAGUAAAAUAGAGGCUACUGUUGUAUGUCAUUUUACCACAUUUAUCACAAAUGCAAAGAAGCAGUGAAAGACUUGUCAGCAACAAGGCCACCCUGCAUACCAAACGCCAUCACCUCCUUGUUGAGUCACAGUGAUCACUUCUGUGUGACAGAUGGUCACACAAAGACACGGGGCACCACAGACCAUCCUGAACAUAAUCCCCGUGUCCCCACUUCAGGGCAGUGCCCACAUGGGCUGCCCUGCGCAGGCCCUGCAUCUCCUUUGCUUUCCAGUUGUUCUGCCUUCUCAAGGCCAGGCCCCAAACUGACUCACCUUCAAAGAAAGGGAGGGAGAGGAAGCAAGUUGCAUUGUUUCCCAAGGGAGGAAUUUGAAUAUGCAUUUCUCCUGAUUCUAGGUCCUAACAGAACUGAUCCAGAAGCAUCAGAAGGGAGGGACACCUGUGGGGUCAGGACAGUGGGCACAAGGCACAGACAGAGCUCAGCAUUCCAGAACCCCCUCUAGCCAAGCCCCUUCCACCUGGGGCUCCCAGUCCAGUGCUCCAGGAAGCUGCUGGCUACACAGCUGGCAUCCACAGACAACCUGACAUUUUACUUUCCAGCCUUGGAAUAGUGGGAAAAGCCAAAGCUUUCGGGAUAAGUGUGAGUUUGAGUACAUCUUCCUCUUGUCACUGGGAGAGGUAAGUUACUUAACCUCUUUGUUUCAUGAUACAAAUAUGUAGGUCUACUAGGUGAUAGAUAAAUGUGUGUGUGGUACUUAGGCUCAUCAGCACACAGCGAACAGUAGCGUGCCCCUCUGGGGAGGAGAGGGCCAUACUUUCCCCCAAGGUUGGAGGACAUUUUACCUUGGAGGUGAGAGGAGGUUCAAGGCCUGGGAGCCCUGCAGUUGAGGUUUGAUGCGGGGGUAGAGGAGUGGUUCCCAUAUUUUGGCUCUCAGGCCGCCUACCUGCCUACUGGUCAGGAACUGCAAAUAUUCAGGUCCCACCCAGAACCUUAGAUGAGAACUGGGAUGGGGCCCUGUGACCUGUUUUCAGGGAACACAGGGCUCUCUGGGCUGGGAAUAUCUGUAAUAGGGAGAAGGAGGCUGAGGUCAGGGGAGAAGGUCAGCUGUCUUCUGGCUAGUGCAGGACUCCAGGCACUGCCCUCAGAGGCCCCAUGGGUACCCCUUUCCCAUAGGCUGGAUACCAACCUGUCACAAACAGACCAGGGCACAUCAGGAGGGCAUGGGCUUCAGUUGCAGGGCAAAUGUGGGAGAGUCUCCCUGCAGCCCCGGAGCCCCUGGACAGCAGACUGGACUUGAGUCUGUUUCCCUGAGGAGUGAACACCAUCCUGUUCUUGUGUGAUUCAAGAAGGCAGAGGCUGGCUCAGCUCCUGAAGCUUCUCUGGCUUCAGGGUUGCUUCCUGAGUGGCCAAGAUGGACAGAUUGAUAUAAAAUGAAGCAGUCAGACCCACGUGCUGUGCUCCUCUGUGUCCUGGACACGAAGUUGACUCUGCUGGGACACUGGUGUUUCUGAGUGGAUAAAGUUCAAGCAGAGUCCUAUAUGAUUUUGGAGUCAAGAACAAACUUCUUAUUCAGCAAGAAGAAAUCCCUGCCCUGAUCACCCAUCAGCAGGGAGAAGUGAGACACUCUAGCAAAUCCCUGUUGAUAAAACAAAAAUCUCUGUUCAAGAACAUUCUGUCUUUACGAAACACAAGUGCAGCCAGCACUCGUAACACUUGUUCGUUCGUUAAUAAUAAAGAGAAUUCUUCAGUGACUACUGAGAUGAAUAAAUAUUUUUUAAAAAGCA